rnacentral:rRNA from 1 species
UACAGAGGGGGCAAGCGUUGUUCGGAAUUACUGGGCGUAAAGGGCGCGUAGGCGGCCUGCUAAGUCGAACGUGAAAUCCCUGGGCUCAACCCAGGAACUGCGUCCGAUACUGGUUGGCUUGAAUCCGGGAGAGGGACGUGGAAUUCCAGGUGUAGCGGUGAAAUGCGUAGAUAUCUGGAGGAACACCGGUGGCGAAGGCGGCAUCCUGGACCGGUAUUGACGCUGAGGCGCGAAAGCCAGGGGAGCAAACGGG